rnacentral:rRNA from 1 species
UACGAAGGUGGCGAAUGUUGUUCGGAUUUACUGGGCGUAAAGCGUCCGCAGGUGGUUUAUUACGUCAGGUGUGAAAGCCCCGUGCUCAACAUGGGAACUGCACUGAAACGGAUUGACUUGAAGGUAAGAGAGGUAGGCAGAAUAACUGGUGUAGAGGUGAAAUUCGUAGAUAUCAGUUGGAAUACCCAUGGCCGAAGGCAAGCUUACUGGCUUAGUUCUU